AAGAAGUUGUCAGUCUGUUCUGUCUGUUGCUGUCGUGCCUGUGUUGCACUUCAGUGCCUGAAGUUUGACUGCGUGUUACACAAAGCUUCUGCCUUGACUGGAACUGGAGAAGCUGCUCCAAGAAAGGGUGGGAUGUAGCUGUGUUGGGAAUAGGUAAGAAGGAGCUGUGACAGCCAACAGCUGCAGGGUGAACUCUGGCAAGGCAUCUGACAACAUCUGGCAGCAUCUGGAUUUAAGAAGAAAUUUCCCAUUUUGCCUAGCUUAUCACUGGGUCUGGAAUGGCUUCACUGGCAGGAAUGCAGGUGAGCAUCAUGAAGGGCAAAUGCCAUUAUUCUGACUCCUUAUGGAAUACCUUGUUCACCUGAGUGGGAAGGGUGGCUAUGUGGAGAGACAAUAAGUAGCUAUACAGUUACUCUCUUUAAUUCAUUUUAGCUGCAAGAACUAGUUCACUGCUCACCCAAUAAGUAGGAUUAUGUUUGGGGGUUAUC
rnacentral:lncRNA from 12 species